rnacentral:rRNA from 1 species
GGAGGAAAGCAGGGGAUCGCAAGACCUUGCGCUUUUGGAGCGGCCGAUGCCUGAUUAGCUUGUUGGUGAGGUAAAAGCUCACCAAGGCUUCGAUCAGUAGCUGGUCUGAGAGGACGACCAGCCACACUGGGACUGAGACACGGCCCAGACUCCUACGGGAGGCAGCAGUGGGGAAUUUUGGACAAUGGGGGCAACCCUGAUCCAGCCAUGCCGCGUGAGUGAAGAAGGCCUUCGGGUUGUAAAGCUCUUUCAGCCGGAACGAAACGGUUACGGUUAAUACCCGUGACUACUGACGGUACCGGAAGAAGAAGCACCGGCUAACUACGUGCCAGCAGCCGCGGUAAUACGUAGGGUGCGAGCGUUAAUCGGAAUUACUGGGCGUAAAGCGUGCGCAGGUGGUUUUGUAAGUCAGAUGUGAAAUCCCCGGGCUUAACCUGGGAACUGCGUUUGAAACUACAAAGCUAGA